rnacentral:lncRNA from 1 species
GUGCAAUCAAUUUACUUCAUAAAUAAAUGAAAUAAAAAUCUUUAUUGAAAUUAAAAUCAAAAUUAUCUUAUUAGUACAGACACAGAAAUCAAAUUUCGAUUAGCUAUUGUAAUAAAAUAAUAAUCUUUUAAAUCUAAUCUAAAUCCUGACGGUAAUUGAAGAGGAUAAGUACCAACAGCUUCUGCAGUAACUUUUGCUCGAUUGCUG